GGAAGGGAGGCCAUUGGGUCUGGCAUUCGGCUCGGAAAGCCGUCGGGGCCCUGCUCCAGGGGGUUCGAUUCCCUCCCCUUCCG
rnacentral:tRNA from 1 species